rnacentral:snoRNA from 1 species
GGGGCCCAAAUGAUUAGUCCAAAAUAAAUGCAUAGUUCAAAUCUAGGAUGCGUCCAAUGCGAACAACAAUACCAUCAUCUAAGUCUUUCGCUCCUAUAUGAUGGAACCG